rnacentral:piRNA from 1 species
UUGAAAGUGAAGGUGGUUAUGCGGUC